AUUGAACGCUGGCGGCAGGCCUAACACAUGCAAGUCGAGCGGCAGCGGGAAAGUAGCUUGCUACUUUUGCCGGCGAGCGGCGGACGGGUGAGUAAUGCCUGGGGAUCUGCCCAGUCGAGGGGGAUAACUACUGGAAACGGUAGCUAAUACCGCAUACGCCCUACGGGGGAAAGCCGGGGACCUUCGGGCCUUGCGCGAUUGGAUGAACCCAGGUGGGAUUAGCUAGUUGGUGAGGUAAUGGCUCACCAAGGGGACGAUCCCUAGCUGGUCUGGGAGGAUGAUCAGCCACACUGGAACUGAGACACGGUCCAGACUCCUACGGGAGGCAGCAGUGGGGAAUAUUGCACAAUGGGGGAAACCCUGAUGCAGCCAUGCCGCGUGUGUGAAGAAGGCCUUCGGGUUGUAAAGCACUUUCAGCGAGGAGGAAGGUGGUGAGGUUAAUAACCUCAUCAAUUGACGUUACUCGCAGAAGAAGCACCGGCUAACUCCGUGCCAGCAGCCGCCGUAACAC
rnacentral:rRNA from 1 species